UACAGAGGGUGCAAGCGUUAAUCGGAAUUACUGGGCGUAAAGCGUGCGUAGACGGUCAUGUAAGUCGGGUGUGAAAGCCCCGGGCUCAACCUGGGAAUUGCAUUCGAGACUGCAUAGCUAGAGUACGGUAGAGGGGGAUGGAAUUCCGCGUGUAGCAGUGAAAUGCGUAGAUAUGCGGAGGAACACCGAUGGCGAAGGCAAUCCCCUGGACCUGUACUGACGCUCAUGCACGAAAGCGUGGGGAGCAAACAGG
rnacentral:rRNA from 1 species